UGUGUGUGUGUGUGUGUGUGUGUGUGUUUUUCUUUUUAUAUAUUUAUAUAUGUGUGUGUGUGUGUGUGUGUGUGUGUGUGUGUGUGUGUGUGUGUGUGUGUGUGUGUGUGUAUGUGUGUGUGUGUGUGUAAACCUGUUGGAUUGUGAAGUGCUGAUGAGUGUGAAUGAAGGUCUAUUUCUGGUCAUGUUGCACAUGUAGACUAAAAACACAAACUGCCAAAGAAUGUGCUUAAAGUGCUAAAACAGAACCAACACACCACUAAACCUAAUAAUCUAUUUUUUACCUGAUAGAUUAGCUCUGACACUGAAGAUCACUCUGCUCCAUGCUGUUUAUCAGCAGAGACAGUUGAUGUAUUUGUAAUCACUAUGGCUCACCAGACGUAUGAAUGGAAUUUUAAAGUUUAAUGACAAAGACAUGUUUAAGCUCGUCCAUGACAAAGAAUGCUUUUCUAUCAGAUCUACCUUUAUAGAUGUUUGAUGAAAACCAGGGCCAUACAACACAUUACAACACUUUGGAUAUAAACUGAAUAAAGACUGAGAAUUGACUGGAGGCAGACUGAUGAAGACUGAGUAUAGACUAAGCAUAGACUGAAUAUAGACUGAGUAAAUACUAAGGAUAGACUGAAUAUAGACUGAGUAAAUACUGAGCAUUGACUGAAUAUAGACUGAGUGAGUAAAGUCUGAGCAUAGACUGAAUGAAGACUUAAAAAAGACUAUGAAUAGGUGGAAUAUAGACUGAAUAAAGACUGUGUGAGACUGAACAUAGAAUGAGUAACAAUUGAGUUUAGACUGAAUAUAGACUUAGUUUUGACGAAAUGUUGACUAAGUAAUGACUGAAUGUAGACUAAGUAUAGACUGAUUAAAGACUGAGUAUAGACUGAGUAAAAACUGAUUAUAGACUGAGUAAAGACUUCUUAUAAACUGAGGAUAGACUGAUUUAUGCUGGGCUUCCACCUAACGAUUUUCACAGUCCCAGACUAAAAAGUGAAAGUCUUAUGUAAAUCUUGAAGUUUUACUGGAGUCACAGUGGAGUCAAAGUGCGAUCCUGUCAUCUCAAUCUUUAAGGUGGUAAUCUGUGCUGUUUUAUAUCAGUCUUUUCCUAGUCUUUGGUUUGUGAUAAUAUCAAAUGUGUUUGAUAUUUUCGCAAGUCCCAGUGACAUAACACAACCAGUGACCAAUAGAUGAGCUCUAACAAAAGGAAAUGGAAACCUGACAGUCAAAACAAGAAAAAUAAGACUGUAUGAAGAAUUACUGGUGAUAAAAAAGGAGCGGAUAGUGGAGCUGUGGGCAGAUCAGCCUUGCCUAUUCAACAUCAACUGCAGGGUUUCCCCUACAUGUAAUGGCUCACCGCCAUGGCUAAAUAAAAGCCGCCACACUUCAACAAUAAAGUUUUUAACGCGCUACUUUGGACUCGGCACGCAGGGCGGGUGUGCCGAGUAUUAGCAUUAGCGAGUUUUGAGGUGUCAUAUGCAAACACACAGCUGAUUGAGCCAUCCCCUUUAAAUCAUACACCACCACAGAUAGAUUUCCCACCAGUGGGAAACACUGUCAAAAAAUGCUAAAAGAAUCUAGUUGUAGUCUUGUAAAUAGUGACCCUGCAAGAUUCACAGUCUUAGUAAAUUCUCAGUCUGAGACUACGCUGUGACCAAAAACUCAAAACACUUGUCAUUAGAUGUGAGCAGGAGUGAGCUGAUAGUUUUCCAGUUAUCUUUUCCAAAUCUUCUCGAAGUCCUCUGGUGGAUAGCAGGCCUAAAAACUGAGUAAAGACUGAGUAUAGACCAGUGUUUAUUUAUUUAUAUGUAAAUUCUACCCUCUGUUCCUUUUGAAGAGAAUGAUGUGUGACCCUGUUGUGGCAGAAGAGAGUCGCCAAACACAACGCUGGUUGUUUUUAACAAAGACAAAGUCACUGGGGAUCAGUAAAGUCUCCUGAUCAGUUAAGAACAACAGAAUGAAAAACGUAAAUGCUCCAGUGGAUUUUUAUACUUUAAGAUUGCUGAUUCGCUCAUUUCGCUGUCAGUGAAAAAGGGAUUCCACCUCAGACAGAUCAUCCAAUCAUCAUGCAGAAGCAGAGUGUCUGGGCCAGCCCACUGCCCCAUAGACCCCAAGGCUGUGUCUCAAUUCAGCGCACUGCCUUUAUGUGGACUUGAAUACCCUGGGUGAGAUGGUCCAGAUUUUGUGAAUUGGGACAGUCUACCCUUCGGAGGACUUCCUGGUUGGGUUGCCAAAUGUUCCCACCCUCAGGCUCACGUCAAGACUGACUUGAAGAAAAGACGCGGAGCGCAGCAGUUAUUUUUUAAUUGUGUGACCUUGCACAGACACAAAACAGUAGAUACAUACAAGCACAAAUCAUUUCCACAAAAUUCAUCCAAUGAUUGUGUAGGAGCCAUGAGGGCAAGAUAAAGGUUUGUGGUUAUUCUCUUGAUUUGUUUUGGUAUUUUGUUGUGAUUGGUGGCAGUGAUUUGUGGAAUCUGGGUCACAGGAGUAUGGGCGGUGUCACUUAGUUGAUUUAAGCACCUGUUCACCUGUGUUCAUGAGGGAAGAGGUUUGAGUGGGUCACCGUAUUUUUUGUUGACUGCACGCACACACACACGUUAAGUCCAGUGAUUGCUGUUUCUUUAGUUGGUAUCGUUUUGUUGAUUGUUUUCUUUAGUACUAAAGCAUGGUAUGAGGGCCAUAUUGAGAAUUCUUUUGAAGACUUCGGGAUUAAAGUUGUGAAUUUACCAGAAUAAAGUCAUUAUUUUUGAGAAUAAAGUCACAAGAUUACCUGUUAUUUUAAAGGAGAGUUGUUCAAAUUAGGGCCGUGAAGCAUUUGAAGGAACUGUGCUUCAGUAUAGGUUUCACAAACAAGGAGAUACUUCAUCCUUUGGCACAUCAGCAUUACAUUGUCAUAAGUAUAAGGACUCUAAAAAGAUUAUAUGAGAAAUGCGUCUUUUUCGAGGAAAAAAAAAAAACAGGUGGACUUUGAGGAAAUCGCUGAUUUGUGGAGGCAGAAACUGAUCUGCUGCUGAUGAAUCCGUUGAUGCAGCCGUAAAUAGCCGUGAAUGGCAUUUAGCUUUAAUUUAUGAUAUGAAUCCAUAUGCCAUAAUAAGGCGUUGGUUUCUCUGCAGGUGUAGGUUACUGCCAGUGUCAGAGAUGUGGUGCUCAUUGGAGCUCGACUCCCUCUGGAUCACAAAUGUUGAUUAUCAGUUGGAUUGUUUCUUCAGAAACCACAAAAACUCUCUGAAUGACCCGCUGAUACAUCCACCAAUAACCCUGCAGUUGACCAGCUCCACCCAUUUCCCCCUCUACUAAAGCAGUUAUAUGACUUAAUUUACUUUAUGCCUUUAUUAACCAAUAACCCUGCAGUUGACCAGCCCCAGACAUUUCUCCCUCCACCAAAGCAGUUUUAUGACUUUAUUUACCUUAUGACUUAUUCUCCCAAGUAUACAACUUUAAUCUCUAAGUCUUCAAAAAAAACAUUCUCGAAUGUGAUCCUGAUACUUUGAUGUAGUUUUGGCAGCUUUCUUAUUUCUAAUAGUUUUGAUUGUGGUCACAGAGUCGAUCUGUUUUUUUCUACAGAGUAUAAUGUUUGGUUUGCAGAUUUCAAUGAGUUAAGAGAUCAUGGGCUCAUGGAGCCCGAGCUGACUGUGUUUUUGGAUUUCUUUUCUGGAAUUCAGAAUUCUGGGAUACCAAGCCCACGAAAGCGUACAUAAAUGCACGCUUGAAAAAGGGGCGGGGGCAAGGUGGUUUUGGGACCGCAUUUGAUGCGUGCUCAGAAUCACGAGCCGAAUGGGACACCAUUAGCGCCACAUGAUGACGUCAUGCACACUUGAAAUAAGCUGUUCGAUGGUGCAAGUCAGUAGAUGCUCAGCAUCCGGCUGUGUAAAGCACUGUUGUGCUGCAAGAGAAUGAGAAGGAAGCUGUGUCAGUUACCUUUGAGAAGUACUUGAUUCUGAACAAAAGAUAAAUGCAUUCUAGCGCAUAUUUAGUCAAUAAAAUGUCCACACUGCAGUGCAUAUGUCACCACCUUUUUUGUUCUUUUUUUUUUACAUUUAAGGAGAGGCUGAGUUUCCCUUGCAGUCUUAGAGCAAUCGCCACUGGUACAGACUGAGUAAAGACUGAUUACAGACUGAGUUAAGACUGAUUAUAAACUGAGUAAAGAUUGAUCAUAAACUGAGUAAAGACUGAUUAUAGACUGAGUAAAGACUGAUUAAAAAGUGAGUAUAGACUGAAUAUUUUGGAUACUCUGGAUCUAAGCUUGUUUUGAGCUGAUGGUUUUUACCUACCCACAGCGCCUAUUUUACUCUGAAAGAGCUGCAGAUACUCAGAACAAAAAGAGUUGACCUGCAGCCCAGAGCCUCAGGUCCGUGUACUUGGCAGCCAAUGGAAUUUCCUUUUUAAAUGAAAAAACGAAAAUGACUAGUAGGGAAUCGGAAAACGCAAAACAAACUGUUUUCUGUUUUGAUCAUAAAAAUCAGAGAAUGAAAAAACAACUCAGUGUUUGACUGUCUGUAAUGUGGCUUUAGAGGGAAAUCGAAGAUCAAAAUAUAUGCGUGAAAAUCUUGUUUCAAGUUUCAUUCACUUUUUUGUUGUGACGCAGAAUUUGUGACUUGGAGCGAGAGGCUCUCAUUAGCACAGAGAGAAGACCAGAUACGCCAGCACACUGUAGCAGCCCGCCUAAUGACGCGUCUACGUGGCAGCCAUCUUGGUGAGGGCAACGUUCAUGGAAAGAUGUACAUGGAAAAUAACUAUCUUGUUCAUUUCUCAACUGAUUUUCACGUGGUUUACUUUAUUGUCAAUGCCAGAACGUGAACAGAACAUAUUAAUACAGAACAUUUGAUUAAAAAUACCGUAAUAAAAAAAACAAUGUUGUGCAUGAAUAGCACAGGUUCAUAUCUGUGACAGAGCCGGCACUUUCCACAGUAUCUACGCUAAUUGCGAUUAUUAAAGUCAUUGAGGAUGAAAACAAUGUGGGAACAUUAUCUGUAACCCUAACCGGGACAGUGAUACAAUUCCGCUGCCCUUUUCUAUUGGGGGGUGGAGGAUGAUAUAAAGAACUGGCUUCAUAUAAUGUAUACUACCUUUUAGCUGGUUUGUUAGUGCCGUUGCUGUAGACUAGGAGGCUGAGGCGUAUCUUCUAAAGCCACUUCACAGACAGUCAAAUACUGAGUUGUUUUUUCAUUCUCAGAUUUUAAUGACCAAAGCGUGAAACAAACUGUUCUCCAUUUUCUGUUUUCUGAUUCCUUGCUGGUCGUUGGCAGCUUGGCCCCCUGAUUUUUGUUUUUUCAUUUUAAAAUGAAAAUCCGCUAGCCAACAAGUAUACUUCAAGUAUAUCUACGUUGUUUGUGUGUAUUUGUUCAUGUGGGUGUGUGUGCAUGAGUGUGUGUGCAUGCAUGUCUGUCCUCCUAUCCUUGUCAGAACUGGGCCUCUGUCCCACUUGCUUUCUGUUCAGUUUCUUGGUUUCUGCAGACUGACUGAUUAAAUCAGGAACUAAAUCAGAUCCUCAGAUUUUCUGCUCUUAGACUGAAGAUUAUUUUAACGAUUUGAAAUGAGAAAAUAAACAUUUAUUGUCUUAUUGUCUGAUGCUUUCAGGUAAAGGCGUUUCUGCAUUUCCUACAUUUCUCAGUGUGAUUGUGAGGUUAUUAUCAUAAGGUGACCAGACGUCCCCGAUUUCCGGGGACAGUCCCCGAAUUGGAUGACCUGUCCCCGGCAAAAGCUGUCCCCGAAAAUGUCCCAGAUUUAAGCGUUUCAUGAAUGAGAGCAAAAAUGUUUUGUGUGGGCUAGAACAACCAUUAUUACAGUAGCCGAAUGGGUAGGAAGCACAAGUAAGCAGUCCUGAACAACAGUUUUUACGGGGGUUAUUACAAGGGGCAUACGCUGAUGUUGCGUCCAACCCCCCCCACCCCCCCCACCCCACCGCCACACCGAAUGUCCCCGGAUUUCAUUACAAAAAAAUCUGGUCACCUUAUAUUAUUAGCCAGUUUACUCUGAAGUUUGUUCAUUUAUUCAUUUUGCUGUUUGGUAAAAACUGUCAAUGAAGUUUCUGAAUUUCACCUAACUAUGAUUAUGGAAUUUUUAAUUGCAUGAUUAAAACAUAACGUCUUCACUUUGAAAACAGUUUUGAAGUCCAUCAUAAGAAUGUAAAGUCGUCUCAGUGUCUUGAUUUAAUUAACCAGUCAGUCUUUAUUUAUUCAGUACCUUAAUCAAGACUCUUUACAGACAGAGCAGGUCUAAACACUUAAUGUAUUCAUUAUAUAUGUGAUAGCAUGUUCUUGAACUUUGAUUUAUGAAAAUAAAAGCUGCUCUGCUGCAGCUGUGUGGACUAAAAACCACAACCAAGAGGAAGGAAAGUUCAUCAUUUUAAAGAAUAACUAAUAAUGACUUUAAUAGUCUGCAGGAGUGCAUGAUCAAAAAUGUUUCAUCAGUGUGUUGAGUUAUCAAAGGUCAGCUUUAUUCAUCAUUAUGGCAUAUUUAACAUAAAAUAAGUUUGUCUUUACAGUAUAAAAGACAUGUUAUGAAAAUUAAUUCAAUAAAUCAUCUAAUUAAUAUAGAUAUAACUAAAAAAGCUGUUGAGUUAGCUAUUUGUCAGCUGUUUCAUCAGAAAUUUAAACCUUCACCCAAACUCUUACACAGCAGCUGUCUCACUCCCCAACAGUAACUAAUCUGCCCCACUGUGAGUGUUCAGUUCAAAACAGAUGUUUUGCCUCUUCACUGACGUCCAGGAAUCCCUGGAUACUGCAACAGCUUAAGCAUUUUUCAGGAGUUCCGGUUUGGUUGCUGUCUUUGUUGCAUACAGCUCCUGUAUGUGUGUAAGACAGGUAGUGUGAACAUGCCGACCUGAAGAAGUUCCUCAGACCGGAGUCCUCCUCAAUGUGGACUGACCUCCAGUCGGUUUUCACCCAUUGAACAAGGCUGUGUUUACUCCACUGAUUUAGUUUAGUCAACAGACUGCAGGACACAUUUAGGUUUGGAAAGACACGGCCUCCACCAUCAUUUAUAGAACACCAAAAAUCAUGACAGCCAGCCCACCGCAGAGGCGCUGUCUUGGAUAGCAAAUCUGAGCUCAACACUGCAGAGAAGCAUCUAACUCUAUCUGUGUGGGUCAUUAAUCUGAGUGAGGUCCACAAUAAUCUCCAGGAUAUUCAGGUCAGAGCUCAGAAACAUGAUCAGGUCUGAGUUCAGACAGAGUCCAGCAGACAGUUUAAGGGUUACAGAAUGGGGAGCAGUUACAGAUUUUACAAGGAUAUUGACUGUGUGUGUGUGUGUGUGUGUGUGUGUGUGUGUGUGUGUGUGUGUGUGUGUGUGUGUGUGUGUGUGUGUGUGUGUGUGUGUGUGUGUGUGUGGUAAACAUGGCUGCAGUCUCCACUCAAACACCCCCAUCAGACCAGUGAAAGGCCUGACCCACUAAAGCGUCUUGGUCUUUGUAUCAGAGCCUGGUGAUACAAGCACAUUAAACAGCAUGUUUUAACCCUCUGUAUCUGUGGUCUUUUCAUUGCAGAGCAGCUGUUAUAGUUUUACCAGGUCUGCUCAAUUCUACUGCUUCAGGCAGAGGGUCAGAGGUCAUCUAUACACACUGAUCUGUCACAACGUAAGGGCUGAUAUCACCCGUUAGUGGGCGGGGCCUGUCAGGCAGCAGGUGUCUGUCACAUUUUAAGUCUUAAAACCUGCAGCUCUGUGCAGGAUGAUCAGGGUCUGGGAUGGACCAGCAGAGGACCAAUGAACCUCUAACAGACAGUGGACACCAGAGCAUCAGAGCUGACCCACAGAGCCAUGGGGGGGUCUGGAGGAUCCUGAUGAGUUCAAGGUGCUGGCCUGGUCUCCAGGUCCUCGUCUAGUCCAGUCCAGCAUCUGUGGUUCUGAUCUGUGGAGGACUUCACAGCUUCAGGAAUGAGAGGAUCUGCUGCAUGUCUUUGGCCCUGAAAUGAUGAAUGGGUAAUUCAAACUUAAAAUGAGCCAAGCUGAGACUUCAAGACCAAGAACAUCACCAAGAACCGAAACAAACAUACAGUGGCCUCCUAUUUAAUACAUUAAAUAACUGUGAGUGAUGUAUCUGAGAGUGACAAGAUCCACUCUGCUGAGAUAAUAGUUUCUUUACUUUGUUGUUUUGACCUCAUUUCAACUGGUUUUAACAGACUGCAUCACAACACUCCUCUCGUUGUCUUCCUGUCCGUUUUCUUCUUUUCCAUCUUUCUGAUGUGAUAGCAUCAACCGUCAAUUUUCAACUGUCAAUCUUCAACUAUCAACUGCCAUCUAUUGUCUAUGUAUCUGCAAAUCUGUACCUCUUUGCCUGUCUUUCUUUGACAUGAUUGUUGAUUUAUCGUCCACUGAGUUCUGCCUGUCUCUGCCUUUGUCUGUUUUAUGUUUUAAAGCACUUUGUAAACACCUGUUCUUCAAGGUACUAUAUAUAUAGUUAUUAGGGCCCGAGCCGACGCUGCAAGCAGCGGGCAAGAGCUCUAUUGAAAUUGCAGGAAGUAUUAUUAUUAUUAUUAGUAUUUCAUUUUUUAUAUAAUUAUUACAACCUUUUAAUUUUUCUCACCCUCUAUAUGGGCUCGAAAUUGCCUGAAAUUUGGCAGGUGGGUCGGGCCCGCCUCAAAUGCCAAUAUUUUGCCAUGCCCCUACAUAUAUAAAUAUAUAUAUAUAUAUAUAUAAACUCUCUAACACAUCCUGACACACUUUUCAUGCUCGAGGAGUUUCCUUUAUAACUGCCCGUACACUGGUUCUACACCAAUCUCACGUCUCGUUGCUAUGUUGUAGCACCACCUGGUGACAGAGGGUUAUGCGUUUUUCAGUUAAUGACCUAUAACUCGGUCAUUAAUAAUGGGAUGCAGCUGAGAUUUGCUCAGGACACACCUGAUGGGGUACCAGAUAGGCUAGGUGCUCUCUGUGGUGGUGUGUGGUGGUGGUGGCCACAGAGAGCGCCACCACCUUCUUUUUAAUUGAAGGAAGUUGUACAUAGACAUAUGAAAAAAAAGUGUGAAGAGGGUGCUUUGCCGUUUGAACUUCUUCAGGUUAUGGAAAUUAGAGGGGUGAUAGUUAUUUUUGUCUAUGAUACUUGCCUUUAAGCUUACUUAGAACAUCUGCCCAGCAAUAGCAAACUGUAUAAUUGAAUGUGUGUGUUAGAGAUGAGUGUUGAAUGCAUAACAAAACUCCUUAUUAGGUAAAUACCUGGACCCAUCUAUGUGAGAGGUUAAGAAGAGACAUGAACCAGCGUACACGUGAAGACAACAUCAAGUAUAGGAAACUCUUUGUCUCGAUAGGCGGAUCCUCAACUAUAAAGGGUACAAGGUAAAGUUAGUUGGGGUUCUGAAGCGCUCAGACCUCUAAGUUGUCUGUUUGGUAGGAUGAGCUAACUUUGAACCCAGAGAUCUCUGUUGCACAUUUCUUGGCUCAUGUGUAAUUAAUAAAGUUAAUAAGAGCUUCAACUGAGAA